UUGUGAUCAUGUUCCUGUGUGUGUGUGUGCGUGUAUGUGUGUGUGCGUGUGUGUGCGUGUGUGUGCGUGUGUGUGCGUGUGUGUGUGUGUGUGUGUAUUUGUGUGCGUGUGUGUGUGUUUCUUCCAGCUCGCCCUUACUAGCAGACCAGCCAAGCCUACUGUUGCAUAUCAGGAGCAGUCAGAACGGGGCUGAACAUGGCGAGAUCAAAUAUCGAGGGCCUGACAGAGCAGAAGAACCUGGGGAACAUCAUCACAGCAUUACAUCACAGAGCAGAAGAACUUGGGGAACAUUACCACAGCAUUACAUGACAGAGCAGAAGAACCUGGGGAACCCAGCAUAUUUACGGAUGGAAAUAUUGAAAUCGAUAAACUGAUGGGAAUGGCAAAUUUAAAGACUUUGUCUAAAGAACACUAACAACUGAUAAACGACUACAUUUCAGAGGAAAAAAACAAAACAAAUUGUUUUUGUUAAUUAUCUACCUGUAUUGUGGAAAAAUCAUGUAAGAAAACCCCUACCAGCGCUACAUGGAAGAAACACUCUCAGACGCAUGGGAACCCAAAAGAAGCUUUCAGAUUGUGGACAUACUUUCAUAUUCUUUGACUUAAAAUUCUAUUGUCAUUAUGUUAUUGUAUUACAUUAUUUUAGCCCAAAUGAUGUAUCUGAGAGUUAUGAGAACAAGUCUUCUUUCUGAGCAAGGAGCAGAGGCCGAUUCUUGUCCCGUUUUGUAGUAUUAUGGUAUUCAUGUUAUUAUUUUACUCACAGUUGUUUUUAAUCAGUAUUUUGUGCUCCGGUGGAUGUGGAGGUGUCUGAGUGGAUGAACUCUUUAUAUCAUACAUGUGAUUGGAUGGUAAAAGGAGACUGAUUGUUUAUUCGCUAUGACAUCAUUCCUUCAUGUGGAUGGAGCUUUCUCAGUGACAUCAUAUAGAAUGUUGGGGUCCUGUUACCACAGAGACAUUGUUGCCGUGGAGAACAGACAUUUAUUGCCUUCAAAGGUGUGUGUGUGUGUGUGUGUGUGUGUGUGUGUGUGUGUGUGUGUGUGUGUGUG
ensembl:lncRNA